rnacentral:tRNA from 1 species
GCCCCUAUGGUGGAAUUGGCAUACACAGCAGACUUAAAAUCUGCCACCGCAAGGUUUGUGGGUUCGAGUCCCACUGGGGGUA